GAGGAAAGUGGCGCACGGGUGCGUAACGCGUAUGCAACCUACCUUAAUCAGGGGGAUAGCCCGAAGAAAUUCGGAUUAACACCGCAUAAAAUCACAGUACAGCAUUGUACAAUGAUCAAAUAUUUAUAGGAUUAAGAUGGGCAUGCGUGACAUUAGUUAGUUGGCGGGGUAACGGCCCACCAAGACCACGAUGUCUAGGGGAUCUGAGAGGAUGACCCCCCACACUGGUACUGAGACACGGACCAGACUCCUACGGGAGGCAGCAGUAAGGAAUAUUGGUCAAUGGAGGCAACUCUGAACCAGCCAUGCCGCGUGCAGGAAGACAGCCCUCUGGGUCGUAAACUGCUUUUAUUCGGGAAUAAACCWMUYUACGUGUAGWKWGCUGAAUGUACCGAAGGAAUAAGGAUCGGCUAACUCCGUGCCAGCAGCCGCGGUAAUACGGAGGAUCCAAGCGUUAUCCGGAUUUAUUGGGUUUAAAGGGUGCGUAGGCGGCUUUUUAAGUCAGGGGUGAAAGACGGUGGCUCAACCAUCGCAGUGCCCUUGAUACUGAAGAGCUUGAAUGAACUAGAGGUAGGCGGAAUGUGACAAGUAGCGGUGAAAUGCAUAGAUAUGUCACAGAACACCGAUUGCGAAGGCAGCUUACUAUGGUUAAAUUGACGCUGAGGCACGAAAGCGUGGGGAUCAAACAGGAUUAGAUACCCUGGUAGUCCACGCCCU
rnacentral:rRNA from 1 species